rnacentral:ncRNA from 1 species
AACCCCCCGAAAUCUGUCAUCAACUUGGCGGAAGAGUCAGAUAUCAGGGGGUCCAAAAGCAGGCGCGUUGCCUGUGAAGGAUUAUAACGCAUGCACCAUAGAAAACAACACCCGGCCGCCAUA